UCGAGCCACCGCCGCAUCUUCCACCGCUAGCUCUACGGCUCGCCGCCUCGCCCAAACGGCCGAACACCAUGGCCUCGCACGACCGCGGCCGCAUCCCCUCCUACCUUGCCGCCGCCACUGUCCUCCUCAUGGCCUUGCUCCUCCCGCCGCUGGCAUCUUCCCAGUGGCCGAAAUGCGACAUGACCAGCAACUUCACCCAGAACAGCACCUACCAGGCUAACAUCCAGGCCCUUUCCACCACCAUUCCCAAGAACGUCUCCUCCUCGCGG
rnacentral:lncRNA from 1 species